UAGGGAAUAUUGGACAAUGGGCGCAAGCCUGAUCCAGCCAUGCCGCGUGAGUGAAGAAGGCCCUCGGGUUGUAAAGCUCUUUUGUCCGGAAAGAAAAGCAUCGGGUUAAUACCCCGGUGUUCUGACGGUACCGGAAGAAUAAGCACCGGCUAACUUCGUGCCAGCAGCCGCGGUAAUACGAAGGGUGCAAGCGUUACUCGGAAUUACUGGGCGUAAAGCGUGCGUAGGUGGUUCGUUAAGUCUGAUGCGAAAGCCCUGGGCUCAACCUGGGAAUGGCAUUGGAAACUGGGCAGCUAGAGUGCGGUAGAGGGUAGUGGAAUUCCCGGUGUAGCAGUGAAAUGCGUAGAGAUCGGGAGGAACAUCUGUGGCGAAGGCGACUGCCUGGACCAGCACUGGCACUGAGGCACGAAAGCGUGGGGAGCAAACA
rnacentral:rRNA from 1 species